GAUGAAAGCAGUUGUCUCUGUUAUCACACAGUUUUACCAUUUGUUUUCUCUGGUUCCCUUCCUCUUUCCUCCCUCCAUCUUAUCGUGCCCCCUCUGCAGCUCUGUGGGAGAUAGUGAAGCAGGGAGCUGUGGUGUCCUAUGGUCUGCUGGAGGAGUUCGUUACCACGGUGUUGGAAACGGUCCCUGAACUGCUCACACACACACAGAGAGAGUCCAACUAGCUAUGGGCCUCCGUGCAAAAGUGGUGCUAGAGUUGUGCAGCAACAGUGAUGUUGCCAACCCACAGGCCACCCAGCCUCAUCUAAGCAGAAUUAACACCUACAUUACAAACCAGGAUAAAGAGACUUCCAGCUCUGAGGUAGGAGCAUCAGAGACAAACUUCCUGAAACGUGUUCAAACUCUAGUGGAUGAUCAAUGUCAGAGAGGUACAUUUUAUCAGAAAAUCUUUCCAACAGUGUUCGGCCCUAAAUGACUCAGCCCGACUGGCUCUAAUGAGAAAAUUCCUCUUGAAUCUGCAGAAACUUUUACCUGUUCCAAACCUUGA